GACAAUGUGGUGUAGUCGCUUGAGUGUUGGACUAUGACUCUGAAGCCCAGGGUUCGAGUCCCUGCUAUGAAA